rnacentral:rRNA from 1 species
GUUCGAGCGGACAGAUGGGAGCUUGCUCCCUGAUGUUAGCGGCGGACGGGUGAGUAACACGUGGGUAACCUGCCUGUAAGACUGGGAUAACUCCGGGAAACCGGGGCUAAUACCGGAUGCUUGUUUGAACCGCAUGGUUCAAACAUAAAAGGUGGCUUCGGCUACCACUUACAGAUGGACCCGCGGCGCAUUAGCUAGUUGGUGAGGUAAUGGCUCACCAAGGCAACGAUGCGUAGCCGACCUGAGAGGGUGAUCGGCCACACUGGGACUGAGACACGGCCCAGACUCCUACGGGAGGCAGCAGUAGGGAAUCUUCCGCAAUGGACGAAAGUCUGACGGAGCAACGCCGCGUGAGUGAUGAAGGUUUUCGGAUCGUAAAGCUCUGUUGUUAGGGAAGAACAAGUACCGUUCGAAUAGGGCGGUACCUUGACGGUACCUAACCAGAAAGCCACGGCUAACUACGUGCCAGCAGCCGCGGUAAUACGUAGGUGGCAAGCGUUGUCCGGAAUUAUUGGGCGUA